AUGAACGCUAGCUACAGGCUUAACACAUGCAAGUCGAGGGGCAUCAUGACGAUAGCUUGCUAUGUUGAUGGCGACCGGCGCACGGGUGAGUAACGCGUAUCCAACCUUCCCCUUAGUAGAGGAUAGCCCGGCGAAAGUCGGAUUAAUACUCUAUGUUCUUCAAUGCGGACAUCUAAGUUGAAGCAAAGAUUUAUCGCUAAGGGAUGGGGAUGCGUCUGAUUAGGUUGCAGGCGGGGUAACGGCCCACCUGGCCUACGAUCAGUAGGGGUUCUGAGAGGAAGGUCCCCCACACUGGUACUGAGACACGGACCAGACUCCUACGGGAGGCAGCAGUGAGGAAUAUUGGUCAAUGGGCGCGAGCCUGAACCAGCCAAGUAGCGUGCAGGAACCGACUGCCCUAUGGGUUGUAAACUGCUUUUAUCAGGGAAUAAAGUGAGGCACGCGUGCCUUUUUGUAUGUACCUGAUGAAUAAGGACCGGCUAAUUCCGUGCCAGCAGCCGC
rnacentral:rRNA from 1 species